CCUACGGGCGGCUGCAGUGAGGAAUAUUGGUCAAUGGGCGCGAGCCUGAACCAGCCAUGCCGCGUGCAGGAAGACGGCUCUAUGAGUUGUAAACUGCUUUUGUACAAGGGUAAACCUGAAUACGUGUAUUCAGCUGAAAGUACUGUACGAAUAAGGAUCGGCUAAAUCCGUGCCAGCAGCCGCGGUAAUACGGAGGAUCCAAGCGUUAUCCGGAUUUAUUGGGUUUAAAGGGUGCGUAGGCGGAUUGAUAAGUUAGAGGUGAAAUGUCCGAGCUUAACUCGGGAACUGCAUCUAAAACUGUUGAUCUAGAGAGUAGAUGCGGUAGGCGGAAUGUAUGGUGUAGCGGUGAAAUGCUUAGAGAUCAUACAGAACACCGAUUGCGAAGGCAGCUUACCAAUCUAUAUCUGACGUUGAGGCACGAAGGCGUGGGGAGCAAACAGGAUUAGAUACCCUAGUAGUC
rnacentral:rRNA from 1 species